rnacentral:tRNA from 1 species
GCCAGUUUGGCUCAGUGGAUAGAGCAUCAGUCUAAGGACUGAAGAGUCCUGGGUUCGAUUCCAGUCAAGGGCA